AGCUCAGUUGGUAGAGCGCCUGCUUUGCAAGCAGGAUGUCAGCGGUUCGAGUCCGCUAAUCUCCACCUGUGGU
rnacentral:tRNA from 1 species